UACGUAGGGUGCAAGCGUUAAUCGGAAUUACUGGGCGUAAAGCGUGCGCAGGCGGUCCGCAAAGUCUGAUGUGAAAGCCCCGGGCUCAACCUGGGAACUGCAUUUGAAACUGGCGGGCUUGAGUAUGGCAGAGGGGGGUGGAAUUCCGCGUGUAGCAGUGAAAUGCGUAGAGAUGCGGAGGAACACCGAUGGCGAAGGCAGCCCCCUGGGCCAAUACUGACGCUCAGGCACGAAAGCGUGGGGAGCAAACAGG
rnacentral:rRNA from 1 species